rnacentral:tRNA from 1 species
GCCCCUGUGGCUCAGAUGGUUAGAGCGGCUGACAUGUAAUGAGUUUCUUACAUGGCAUCAGCACGUCGCAAGUUCAAGCCUUGCCGGGGGCU